GCGGCUUAAUUUGACUCAACGCGGGGUAAUUUACCAGGUAUAACAUGAUAUAAUAUUUUAUCAUGAUAGUGGUGCAUGGCCGUUUCCAAUGGAUGCUGUGAAGUAAUGAUUAAUUUCAACAAGAUGUGAGACCCUCAUUUAGACAGAUGUAGUGAUACAUAUGAAGGAGAGGAUUAAAACAGGUCCGUUAUGCCCUAAGAUAAUCUGGGUUGCACGCGCAAUACAAUAAUAUUUGAUAUUAUAAGGGUUAAUAUAAUGUAAGAUAUAUUUGAACAUGGAAUUGCUAGUAAAUUUUAUUUAAUAAGUAGAAUUGAAUGAGUCCCUGUUCUUUGUACACACCGCCCGUCGCUAUCUAAGAUGGUAUUAUCUAUGAACAAAUUUAUAAAGUGAAUAGAUAGUACUAGAUCUGAUAUAAGUCGUAACAUGGUUGCUGUUGGAGAACCAUUAGCAGGAUCAUAA
rnacentral:rRNA from 1 species